rnacentral:rRNA from 1 species
CACCGCGGUUAUACGAGAGGCUCAAAUUGAUAUUCCACGGCGUAAAGCGUGAUUAUAGAAAACCCCCACUAAAGCCGAACAUCUCCUAAGCCGUCAUACGCUAAUGAAGAGACGAAGCCCUACAACGAAAGUAGCCUUAAAACUCUUGAACUCACGACCAUUAAGAAA